UUUUUUUAAUGGGCUAAUGUGAUGUGGGUUGCGCGGUUGCGCAAGGGAUUGGCCGCACUGAUUUAACGCGUGAACGUACCGAGUUUUUUUCGAGAAAAACAUUGCAAAAUGCACGAAAAACAAGUUCGUUGCCAGCGAUGUCUUUUGUACGAUGAACUUUCACAUUGUUAUCGGGACGAACAAAAAGAAAAUUUUCGAGAGUGUCAUGACAAAAGAAAACUGUAUAUUUUAUGAAUGUGGGGUGGCAAAAUUUUGUUUUUGUUUGUUUAUAUUAUUGAAAUUAACAAAUAAAUAAUAAGAACUGUAUUUUAAUUGAUAAUUUUUCAUACUAAGUGUUUCUUUAAUGUUGUAUAAGGUUUUAUGUUUGUAGUUAUUAAUUAUAUUUAGUUUAAAAUCUAAUUUUUGAUUUACAGGGUGGAAAAACUUAUUCUAAACGAAGGAAAUACAAGGGGUCUCUAAAAUAGGUGGUCAACAUUUGGGAGUAGGUAGGACAUGUCCAAUAAAGAAGAAAGUUUAAAGAAAUAUUAUUUAUAAUUUUUCCUGAAGAAUAUUCUGUCACUCAAAUUUAAAUGUCAUAAAAAAUUGGUUUUAUCUCAUAUUUUGGUAACCUUUGGUCCAGUUUUGUUGAAAUUUAGCAGCCCUGGUCCCAACUGGACUGGGAUGAGCCAACCAUCCAUUGGAAAGACGAUAAGGCAAAAAGGAAAGGGCAUUAAAGCUCUGGACACAACUGGACUGUGAUGACCCAACCAUCCAUUUGAGAGACGAUAAGACAAAAAGGAAAGGGCAUAAAAGGUAGGUCCAGAACGAGACUAGUUAACCGGGCAACUGGCAACGCAAAGUAAGUUUUUGAACAUAUUAUUUCGGGUUCCAUUUUCAUCCAUUCAACAUUUAGGUCGAUUUUUGAUUAUGUCCACGUAUUAUAUUAGGUAUUUACUUCAUACAGGACAAAUUACUAUUUGCUGUUUUAUAAUUUUAGUUUAGUUAUGGGUUCCUCGUUGAUAAAAUGAUGAAAAUAGAAGAAUGAGGAGUAUUCAUCAAGGAUUUGGACACAUCUGAACUCUGGGGACUCAACUAUCUAUUGGAAAGACGAUAAAGCAACUCUGAAAGGGAUUUAAAGCCCUGGACACAUCUGGCCUGCAAUGACCCAACCAUCCAUUGGAAAGCCUAUAAGGCAAUCUGGAAAGGGCUUUAAAGCCCUGGGCAAAACUGGACUGGGAUGACCCAACCAUCCAUUGGAAAGACGAUAAGGCAAAAAGGAGAGAGCAUUAAAGUUUAGUUAUGGGUUCCUCGUUGAUAAAAUGAUGAAAAUAGAAGAAUGAGUAGUAUUCAUCAAGGAUUUGGACACAUCUGAACUCCGGUGACUCAACUAUCUAUUGGAAAGACGAUAUAAGCAACUCUGAAAGGGAUUUAAAGCCCUGGACACAUCUGGCCUGCAAUGACCCAACCAUCCAUUGGAAAGCCUAUAAGGCAAUCUGGAAAGGGCUUUAAAGCCCUGGGCAAAACUGGACUGGGAUGACCCAACCAUCCAUUGGAAAGACGAUAAGGCAAAAAGGAGAGAGCAUUAAAGUUUAGUUAUGGGUUCCUCGUUGAUAAAAUGAUGAAAAUAGAAGAAUGAGUAGUAUUCAUCAAGGAUUUGGACACAUCUGAACUCCGGUGACUCAACUAUCUAUUGGAAAGACGAUAUAAGCAACUCUGAAAGGGAUUUAAAGCCCUGGACACAUCUGGCCUGCAAUGACCCAACCAUCCAUUGGAAAGCCUAUAAGGCAAUCUGGAAAGGGCUUUAAAGCCCUGGGCAAAACUGGACUGUGAUGACCCAAUUAUCCAUUGGAAAGACGAUAAGGCAAAAAGGAAAGGGCAUUAAAGUUUAGGUAUGAGUUCCUCGUUGACAGAAUGGUUGAAAUAGAAGAAUGAGGAGUAUCCAUCAAGGAUUUGGACGCAUCUGGACUCUGAUGACUCAACUAUCUAUUGGAAAGGCGAUAAGGGAACCUGGAAAAGUGCUUUAAAUAUAAUAAAUAAUAUUUCAUUUUACUACAUUACUACAAAGCCCUGGACACAACUGGACUGUGAUGACCCAAACAUCUAUUGGAAAGGCAACAGAGAAAGGACAUUAAAUGUAGGUCCAGAACAUGAUCAGUUAGGUCGGUUUUUGAUCACGUCAAUUUGUUGAUUUAUUUAUUUUAGUUGAGGUUGAUUUCCUGGUUAAUUGUAUGGUGGAAAUAGAAGAACGACGACUAUUCAUCAAGGUUUUGGAUGCAUCUUAACUGUGAUGAUGGCUGUGAAUCAAAAGAAGUAAUUUAUGGUUUCCUUGUUAAUUUAUUUAUAUUUUUCAUAUUCUAAAUUUUUGGAAAGUUUAAAUAAAUAGUAAAUAGUCUA